rnacentral:misc_RNA from 1 species
GUGAGUCAUCGAAUCUUUGAACGCACAUUGCGCCUCUCUUAAAAGGGAGGCAUGCCUGUCUGAGCGUCGUUUAAAACCAAUAAACCCGAAUGGGUUUGUGCUGGGCUUCUCCCAUUUGGGAGUUGCCUGAAAAACAUUGGUCUUAUGAGCGGACGAGCUCCUUUCGGAUGAACCGUUACAGUGACCAUUAAACUCUGAAUCUGACCUCAGAUCAGGUAGGGACACCGCCUGAACUUAAGCAUAUCAAUAAGCGGAGGA